rnacentral:rRNA from 1 species
GUGUUGAUGAUGUCGGUGAUCCACCCGUUCCCAUUCCGAACACGGAAGUUAAGGCCGAUGAUGCUGAAAAUACUUGGUUGGUGACGACCCGGGAAAAUAAGGAGACGCCA